rnacentral:lncRNA from 1 species
CCAGAGUCCCAAGAAGGAACUCGGCUCUUCAGAGAUUCAGGACUCAGGAGAAGACUUCGUGGUGAGAGUUGACGUAGAAGUUGACAGCCCAAACCCCACACCAGUUCUUAGAAGUAUUGAUCUCCAAGAAAGAGCAGAAAGAGCUACAACUCCUGCUCCCAGGGACUUACAGGUCCCAGAAUGAGAAAGUCCCUCUUUAGUGGAUCUAGAGAAUCUAUUCAUUAAACCUGGAGAAGAACAUGAGGUUAUAGUUUCUU